rnacentral:rRNA from 1 species
UUAGUGGAAGCGUCUGGAAAGGCGCGCGAUACAGGGUGACAGCCCCGUACACAAAAGCGCAUGUGCUGUGAGCUCGAUGAGUAGGGCGGGACACGUGGUAUCCUGUCUGAAUAUGGGGGGACCAUCCUCCAAGGCUAAAUACUCCUGACUGACCGAUAGUGAACCAGUACCGUGAGGGAAAGGCGAAAAGAACCCCGGCGAGGGGAGUGAAAAAGAACCUGAAACCGUGUACGUACAAGCAGUGGGAGCCCCACCACCAAAGCAUUCUCUGGUGUUGAAGGCCCUGCAAAGCAGCAUCGCGGUGGCGGAGCGUCGUUUGCGACGCCCAACACACAAAACAAGCGGUGAGUGCUUUGGGGUGGGGUGACUGCGUACCUUUUGUAUAAUGGGUCAGCGACUUAUAUUCUGUAGCAAGGUUAACCGAAUAGGGGAGCCGGAGGGAAACCGAGUCUUAAYYGGGCGUUAAGUUGCAGGGUAUAGACCCGAAACCCGGUGAUCUAGCCAUGGGCAGGUUGAAGGUUGGGUAACACUAACUGGAGGACCGAACCGACUAAUGUUGAAAAAUUAGCGGAUGACCUGUGGCUGGGGGUGAAAGGCCAAUCAAACCGGGAGAUAGCUGGUUCUCCCCGAAAGCUAUUUAGGUAGCGCCUCGUGAAUUCAUCUCCGGGGGUAGAGCACUGUUUCGGCUAGGGGGCCAUCCCGGCUU